UACGUAGGGUGCGAGCGUUAAUCGGAAUACUGGGCGUAAAGCGUGCGCAGGCGGUUCGUUGUGUCGGCGGUGAAAGCCCCGGGCUUAACCUGGGAACGGCCGUUGAAACUGGCGAACUGGAGUGUGGCAGAGGGGGGUGGAAUUCCGCGUGUAGCAGUGAAAUGCGUAGAGAUGCGGAGGAACACCGAUGGCGAAGGCAGCCCCCUGGGCUAACACUGACGCUCAGGCACGAAAGCGUGGGGAGCAAACAGG
rnacentral:rRNA from 1 species